AAGCGAUUUCGUCGUGGAUGUGAGGGGGAGAAAUCUGUACUCUGUAGAGUGCGAGAGCGUUUCAGUACAUCUUUCUGAAUACGUCACAGUGUCAUAGAUGUUGGUCAUAGUUUGAGGUCUCACUCCCACUCAAUUUUCGCCCCCGCUGUCACAGUGAAUGGAUGCUGCUAGCUUUCGGCAAUGUUGUUAUCAGAAUGAUAUCGCAGCGGGACAGCGGGGAUUUCGCUCGUUUUUAUACCGUCACCGACCCCACGAAGCACCGGAAAGGAUACACAGUUUACAAAGUCACCGCUCGGAUCAUUUCUCGAAACAACCCAGAGGACGUCCAAGAGGUCUUCCACUGGUUCUCCAGAUAACGGUGUGGAAAAGGUAUAGCGACUUUCGGAAACUUCACCACAACCUCUGGCAGCUGCACAAGAACGUUUGUAGCCAGUCAGAACUGUUUCCACCCUUUGCCAAGGCCAAAGUGUUUGGUCGCUUUGAUGAGGCAGUGAUUGAGGAGAGGAGACAGCGCUUGGAGGAUCUGCUGCAGUUCUCUGCGAACAUUCCCGCUCUUUACAGCAGUCAGCACAUCCAGGAGUUCUUCAAGGGAGGCGAAGUCCACGACGGCUCGGAGCUCAUCGGACCGUUGUCCGAGCCCUUUUGCGAAUUCCUGACCGACGGUUUGUCCGGCCGCAGCUCGGACGUUGAAAGAGACCUCGGUUGUGGUGAAGAUUUGACUAUCACAUCAGAGUAUGGAGGCCCGUCCAGUGACAGCAGCGACUUGAACUCGCUGGCCGUGGACACCGACUCUUUGGCCGAGCUAGACGAUGGCAUGGCCUCGGGCCGCACGUCCCCGAACCACCCGCACGGGGGCGCCGCCAGCGUCGGCAGCAGCAGCAGCAGCAGCAGUCCCCGCUUGCCCUCCCUGCACGAUCGCCGCGGCGCCCCGUCGCCCGCCCCCGCUCCCGGUUCCCCGGCCCCGAAACCGGAGGUCAGCCGGCCCGGCCGCGCGUCGCUGUUCUCCAAGAAAGCCGCUGGCCUCAAGGAGAAGCUGAAGGCGGACUACCUGGACAAAGCCGGCGAAAUUAUCCGUGUGGCGGUGCAGAAGGAGAAGGAUCAGGACUACCAGGCGGCGUUCGCCUUCUACCGCAGCGGAGUGGACCUGCUCCUUCAAGGUGUUCAAGGCGAGCCAAGCCCCACGCGGCGAGAGGCAGUGAAGAAGAAGACCGCUGAGUACCUGAUGCGAGCAGAGCAAAUAUCCAGCCAGCAUCUUCACAGCAACAUGGGCCAAGGAUCUACACAAACAGCGCAGGUGAUGGGGGCGCAGUGCUGCGCAUCCACCAACAGAGGGAGCCAGCAAAGUCUUUCCGACGAUCUCGGCGCUUACAGGGUGGUGGGCGUCAUCGAUAAGGUUCUUUUGGUCACGGACAAGAGAACACGAGAGAUGUUCGUCGUGAAAGGUCUGAGGAAGAGCAGUGACUGCGGCCGACUGAAGAAAACCAUCACGCCUCGCUCCGUGCCCCACAUGGUGCAGCUCAAGAAGCUCAUCGACUCCGAGGACACCGUCUUCCUCCUGCUGCAGCACGCCGAGGGUGGUAAGCUGUGGUCCCACAUUGGGAAGUACCUGCGGAAUUCCAGUCCAGACGAGAGCUUUGACAUUCCUUUCAUCCAGAAGAGCCAUACAUUAGCCGUGCAUACGCCACAAUAUGGCGUGAAUUCAGCUAGUUCCAACUGUGGGCCUGUCGCUGGUUGGGAUUCUGUGCCACAUGUAAACAAGGAAGUCAAAGACCCGGCUGCUGCCUCCUCACGUAAAAGCGGCCUCCUCGCCAGGCUUGGCAAAAAAGCGGCAGCCCACUCAGACUCCGGCGCCACCUCUGAGGAAGAGUGCACCAACAGUUAUUUAACACUUUGCAACGAGUACGAGCGGGAGAAAGUGGAGCCGGACGCGCUGGAGGAGGACAACGAGGCGAGGAGCGAGCAGGAAGCGUCGUUCGACGUGCCGAACGGGGCGGCCGCCGCCGCCUCGCGGAGCCGCUCGCUUCUCAGCAACGACAGUCUGGCGUCGCCCGUCAGCUGCCAGGAGCUCGGCUUUUUCGCCGACUCGCCUGACAAGAGGCGAGACGGUGAGGGGCGAGACUACGGCGACGUGCUACACGCGCCGCUGUCUCUGGAUCAGUCCAAGCGCACGCCCAUGGAGUUUUUCCGCAUCGACAGCAAAGACAGCGCGAGCGAGGUGACCUGCCUCGACUGGAGGGAGCAGCAGCAGCAGCCGCAGCCCCCCUCCCAUAAACAGCCCCCCCUCUUUUCCGCAUCCGAGGUCGUCGAGGAGUUUCAAGAGCUGGCUCCGGAGGUCGAGGGCCACAGUGCUCACCUUUGGGGGUUAGAUUAUUGCGAUAAAGGUUCCAAUGAGUCAGUGCCGGUCAUUUCUUUUAAAGAGGCGGUAGUGGAAGAUGAGGGUCAUCCGCCGGACCUCUUGGUCAAUCUGCCCGUAACGAGCGUGGCCGCAGACUCUCAACAAGCGGAAUUGGAAACUUCCAUGCUGUGUCUGGGCCUCGAGGUCGCGACCUCUCCUCAAAGGUCCAUCAAGCCGGAUGUUUUACAGCUCCCCGGCCAGCUGGGGGGAGAGGAAGGACGGCAGCCUUCAUCUUUGUGUGCAGCCUCUGCAAAUCGUGACCCCGGUGUUGCGUCUUCAUCCGUCUUGACCUCACUCUGGGACGACUACAGCUUGACAUUUGGACAAGAAGACAAAGAAAAAAUGUCAGUUGAACCUCCAUGCCACCAUAGUGACUCUUUGCUCAGCCCAGGCCAUCCGGUGGCCUCCUCCCUUUGUGAAAAAGCAAUACACACAGAUGCGAUUGCAAACGUUGAACCGCAAGCUCGUGAGAAAUCGCUGGCGUUCGACGCGGAGUCGGCAGCAGUUUCGCCUGACAGAGUUAAAUUCGACAAAGACGUAUCGCGGCUGUUUGCGGAGCUGGAUGAGAUGUCGCUGGCCGCAUCCCGGGCUCGUAUUCCCGAGGCGUUUGUCCGAUGCUGGGCCGUCGAGCUCGUGACUGCGCUGGAUUCUCUGCACCGAGAGGGCAUCAUCUGUCGAGACCUCAAUCCCAACAACAUCCUCCUAGAUCGCCAAGGUCACGUUCAUCUAACUUACUUCUGUAGCUGGAGUGAUGUGGAGGAGUCUUGUGACGAAGAGGCCAGCGCUAACAUGUACUGCGCACCAGAGGUGGGAGGCAUUGGCGAGGAGACGGCUGCGUGCGAUUGGUGGAGUUUGGGCGCCAUCCUGUUUGAGCUGCUGACAAGCACGAUCGUGUGUGUGUGUGUGUGUGUGUGUGUGUUUUGUUGUUGUUUGUGCGAGCGAGGUGCGUCUUGGCUGCCGCCUCUCGCACUGGUUCUCCGGGAGUGCCAGGGGUGUCCGUGUGACUUUCUCCCCCAGCUUGAGCUCCAUCUGCCGGGCCACGGGGUCAGGCCUCCGCGGGCCUCUUUCCUGGCUCCUGGCGCACCGCCGGGCUCCCGGAGCAGCGGCUCAAGCCUUACGUCGGCAUCGAAGUCGCUGCUCCAGUGCCAUCCAGCAGGAAUCGGACGCCACACGGCACUCAACAUCCCCGAGUCGCUGUCGGAGGAAGCCAGAUCGCUGCUGGAACAGUUGCUGCAGUACAACCCCGCAGAGCGACUGGGCGCAGGAGUGGCCGGCGUGGACGACAUCAAAUCGCACCCCUUCUUUGCCAAAGUGGACUGGACCAAGUAGAUGCUGCUCAGCCCUUCCAGAGAUGCAUGCUGGGAAACUGGCCAUCACUGUUACACUCCAGUGUAGGACACAGCGAGCCAAGGUGCGCAUUUGUGCGAGUGUCUUUGCCGCAGGGAAGCGUCCGUCUGCUCCGAGGCAAGAUGGAGAGGACACGCCAAGGACUCGCAUGAUGCAACACUUCUCAUGCAGGUCAGCCACAGCACCUGAAUGCAAACUGGAUUUCGUCCAACCCAAUCAGACCCCGUUUGAGAUCUCGCUUCCUCGCUGUGGAAAAGGCGCGGGGAGAAAAAGACAGCCGCAAUGUAUGCGCAGCACUGAAGACGAAGAUGGUCUUUGACUUCCCGUGGAAAUUUUUGCUGGACACUUUUCAGAGAUUUACUGGCGAUUUUCCACCCUUUUGCAACUGCACCAAGGAGCAAAACAAAACCCCCCCACAGAUGCCUCCUUACAGGUGCAGGCGGGACCCGGAUGUCGAGGCCGCCGUUUGCGCUCAGGAUAAGCGGAGUCCGGUCCCGAGGCCUCCGGAGGCCGUCGCCGCUUCCUGGCGCUCUUUGUAAACGGGAGGAACAGUGGCCACCGCGGGCGCGAGAUCAAACGGCGUCCGUUGUCUUUGCUGAGUCAGGCGCAAGGAGAAGCGGGGGAAACACGCGGGAGCCAUUGAAGUUGCCGCAAAAUGACGAGCGAGCGGCGACGGCGGGGUGACGCGAGGCGGCGCGUCGGAGCUCAGGUGACCCUUUGACGUACGGUCAACCCCGGUUCAUCGCAAGUGUUUCGUUCUACAUCCACCUGCAAGAGGUGAAAAUCUGCAAUGUAUAGAUUUAUUUAUCAUAUAACAUCACUUUGAGGAAACAAAAAGAAGACUCGCUCGCACCGUUCUCCAAACAAGAGGGAAAGUGUGCUUGAUAUUUGAUGAAUUGAUAUUUAUUUCAUUCUCUACCAUUUAUUUCAUUGUGUCAUGUUUUGAUAUGUAAUAAAGAGUUUCAAUUUU